rnacentral:rRNA from 1 species
GAUGAACGCUGGCGGCGUGCCUAAUACAUGCAAGUCGAGCGAACGGACGAGAAGCUUGCUUCUCUGAUGUUAGCGGCGGACGGGUGAGUAACACGUGGAUAACCUACCUAUAAGACUGGGAUAACUUCGGGAAACCGGAGCUAAUACCGGAUAAUAUUUUGAACCGCAUGGUUCAAAAGUGAAAGACGGUUUUGCUGUCACUUAUAGAUGGAUCCGCGCUGCAUUAGCUAGUUGGUAAGGUAACGGCUUACCAAGGCAACGAUGCAUAGCCGACCUGAGAGGGUGAUCGGCCACACUGGAACUGAGACACGGUCCAGACUCCUACGGGAGGCAGCAGUAGGGAAUCUUCCGCAAUGGGCGAAAGCCUGACGGAGCAACGCCGCGUGAGUGAUGAAGGUCUUCGGAUCGUAAAACUCUGUUAUUAGGGAAGAACAUAUGUGUAAGUAACUGUGCACAUCUUGACGGUGCCUAAUCAGAAAGCCACGGCUAACUACGUG